GCUCCCAGUUAAGGUUUAACUUUAACGGCCAAUAUGACCUUGUUUCGUUUGUUAUCGGAAGUCUUUCUGUAAAGGCAUGUAAAGGCUUUCUGUAAAGGCAUGUUCUAAGCGGUCACUGAUGCAUCGGCCGGUCUGGCCGAUAUAAAUUUUACCUCAUGCCAUCAGUAUCUCGCAGACCGCACCCAUUGCACAUUUAACAAAGGGCUUGUCGGCCCCGGAAGCGCGAGACGACACCUUGAUAUACGGUCCCCUGGCGGCACUCAAGCGCCAGGGGACUGAAGCGAGCGUGGAAAGCCUGCUGGCGGAAAUCAUGGCAUGCUCACGUGACGCAUUUCUUUAGCGAGGAACAGAAAUUUCGGGCAAGCAAAAUGGGAAGGAAACUAAAGCUUUCCAGCGACUACGUAAAGGAGUUUAGUGAUUUUAAGAGUCAACGCCACCCGAAGGAGCCGUUUGCAAGUUAUAGAAGCCCCGUCUAGACACAGGCAACUCGUCACAGCAAAGCUGCCUAGAAGAAUACAUCACACGGGCCCGAUCCGACAGACAAGACGCGGACGGCAUCCCGCACCAGGCAGACCUGCACUACGUGACUUCCGGAAGCCAUUGCCGGCCUGUUUUCAAUAUUUGGUUUAUACUUUUUACUUUUUAAUAUUUGGCAAAUGCUGAUGUGAAAUAAAACAAUACAGAAUAAUUGCACGCAC